UACGAACGCUGGCGGCAGGCCUAACACAUGCAAGUCGAACGCUGUAGCAAUACAGAGUGGCAGACGGGUGAGUAACGCGUGGGAACCUUCCCAAUGGUGCGGAAUAGCCCAGGGAAACUUGGGGUAAUACCGCAUAAGCCCUUAGGGGGAAAGAUUUAUCGCCAUUGGAUGGGCCCGCGUCGGAUUAGCUAGUUGGUGAGGUAAUGGCUCACCAAGGCAACGAUCCGUAGCUGGUUUGAGAGAAUGACCAGCCACACUGGGACUGAGACCCGGCCCAGCCUCUUACGGGAGGCAGCAGGGGGGAAUCUUGGACAAGGGGCGCAAGCCUGAUCCAGCCAUGCCGCGUGAGUGACGAAGGCCUUAGGGUUGUAAAGCUCUUUUGCCGGGGAAGAUAAUGACGGUACCCGGAGAAUAAGCCCCGGCUAACUUCGUGCCAGCCGCCGCCGUAA
rnacentral:rRNA from 1 species